UACAAAGGAAUUGACGGGGCCCGCACAAGCGGUGGAGCAUGUGGUUUAAUUCGACGCAACGCGAAGAACCUUACCAGGGCUUGACAUCCCCUGACCGCGUAUGAAAGUACGUUUUCACCCUCGGGUGACAGGGAGACAGGUGGUGCAUGGUUGUCGUCAGCUCGUGUCGUGAGAUGUUGGGUUAAGUCCCGCAACGAGCGCAACCCCUACGUCUAGUUGCUAACGCGUGAAGGCGAGCACUCUAGACGAACUGCCGUUGACAAAACGGAGGAAGUGGGGAUGACGUCAAAUCAUCAUGCCCCUUAUGUUCUGGGCUACACACGUGCUACAAUGGCCGGUACAGACGGACGCAAAGCCGCGAGGUGGAGCAAAUCCUAAAAAGCCGGUCUCAGUUCGGAUUGCAGGCUGCAAUUCGCCUGCAUGAAGUCGGAAUCGCUAGUAAUCGCAGGUCAGCAUACUGCGGUGAAUACGUUCCCGGGCCUU
rnacentral:rRNA from 1 species